AGGUUGCUUCGCGGCCUAACUACUACUCCUCGGGACCGGCGGCCGUUUCAUCCGUUUCUCUCUGGCGACUGCCUAGAGUCCUCUUCCCGGAGGAGGAAUCAUGAUCUUCUGCGUCGUCGUCGUCCGCCACCAGAACAACCCGCUGUACCUGCACAGCUUCACGGAGGCGGACGACGCCCUCAAGCUCCACCACAUCGUUCACUGCUCCCUCGACGUCAUCGACGAGCGAGGCGCAUUAUUGCCUCGACAUCCAUUCUGUUGGCAGUGAACAAUUCUAAAAGGACAUUGAAUGAGACAUUUUUGGGUCUUCUGUACCCAACUGAGAACUACAGAGUGUAUGGCUAUUUGACAAACACAAAGGUCAAGUUUAUCAUGGUCACGACUGAUCUUAAUGCCAAAGAUGCAGAUGCCCGAAAUUUUUUCAGGAAGUUCCAUGCUGCAUAUGUAGAUGCCGUCUCAAACCCGUUCCAUGUCCCGGGGAAGAAGGUUGCUUCAAGAAGCUUUGGUGCAAGAGUAAGCACCAUCGUGAAAUCCUUCGGUUCUGGGACAACCAGUUGAUCCAACGCCACUUUUGGCAGACUUCCUGUAAUCAAACGUGUGUGUUCUCCCUGUUCGACAAAAUUACUCCUGACCGUGUACUGCUUGCAUGGUGAACGAGGUGCCAGUUUGGUACUGGUUGCGGAGCAAAGAAAGAUAGUGGUUCAUUC